AGUCCUAAGACGACUGGCUAACGUCUAAACAGAGCUUUACAUGUUUUUAACCGUCUCUACCAAGCCAGUACUUUCGGUGGUCUUUCUAACAUCGGAACGACAAAAACGUUACUGCUUUCGGCUUCGGUCAAAACACUCAAAUUAACUUAAUUACAUGCAGAAAUAGUGAGCUCAGGGCUGGGUCUCAGUAUCCCCAGACCACGAGGUAUCUCCUAAAAUCAGGGCUACUACUAUUUUUUGAAUUAUUAUUGUUUUUGAUCAGUAGAUAAAAAUCAUCAUCUCCAUCGAAGAUGGAUCAACCCUUUCCCCCAACUCCUAGCUUCUCAUCUUAGCAAAAUGAAUUUAGAUGUCAAUUAAAUUCAACUCAGGACAUGCAGGGAAGCUAAAAGUUUAUAUAAGUUAAUGAAAGUUCCAGUCCCGAGACACCUCCGGAUUCCUGAAUCCGGGGAAUUAAGGCUCUCAUAUUCCUUUCGGAAGGCUGGUUUUCCACCCUUCACUGUUGUUCGCAACGGCCUUGCAACUAUUGUAGCGACACAAUAGUUGCAACUCGGAGCGGUCUCUGCUACUUCUGCAAUUAGUCGUUGUUUUUCAAGCACAAUUCUCAUUGUUCACGCUAUCGCAACUAAUGUUGUUGUGUUUUUCUUCCGGUUUUCUGCCAAAAUGGCCGUUUCUGACGUUUUUCAGAAAUAUGACGUCAUACUUCGAAUUUUUAAAAUUUCAAAAUACCAGAAUAUCUUGACCUUCACCGUUUGACCAAUUGUCCCAAUAACGUCGUUAAUCGCUUAGAACCGUCAAUUCGGAAGGUUAGCGGCUAAUAAUUCGAAAUUGCCGAAUCUGCAUUUUCGUCCAUUCUGGUCGAAUGUCACAGACCGUCAUUAGUUCCAUGCAGUCAUCUUCUUUGCAAAGUGCUGGAACUAGUGCCGGUCACGCCCUCGAAGUAUCCGACGAGCAAAAGUUUUCUUAGCACCUUUCCGCGUGCGAAGAAGCUGGCAUCUCGUUUGUGCCCCUCUCUGUCGAGGCCUUUGGCGGGUGGUCAUCCAUUGCCGCUAAAACCAUUCAUCGCAUUGCUUCGAUGGCAGCAGCGCGCUCUGCCUGUGCCGACCCCUGGUAAGAUGCUUGUUAUCUUAUUCAACAGCUGUCAGUUGUCCCGCAAAAAGGGAACUCCACCCUCCUCCUGUCCCGGUACUGCUCAGUGUUUUUUCUGUUCUAUGCAAAUGUGGUAAUUUUUUUUCUGUGUAUCUGGCGUCCUUGUAAAUUUGUUUCUGUUAUUUUGUAUGUAUGGCGUUUUAUAAGCCCGCGGGUAAACGCCAAGCGCCUGAAUUCAACGCGAGUGUUAUUUCAAUGAUGUCAAGAAAAACAGUUGAACUGGGUCCUAAAGGGUACGUAUUUCAUCCACGGCACUGCGUCAAAACAAGUAUUUUUUCGGAAUUGGAAAGAAUUGAAUUGAAAUGUUCUAUCCUCAAUAUGGUAAGUCUUAAUUUGAUGUUUUUAUUCCAGAAAUACUUGAGCAACUAAUCUGAAAACCUGGACUAAUCUUUAUCAUAAAUUAACUGUAUUGAUGCGAAGGCUUUUAUACAGUAAUUGAAGUGUUCUUUCUUUUUCAUAAUAACGUUUGAGAAAAAGACUUAAAACGACCGACCGGUGCAUGUUGAGUUAGUUAGUUGCGGUAUUUGCCUAAUUUAGUGUGAUUUGGGAUCUCUCAUGGUUUUUACCGGGAGCCUUUUAUCACACCUGUAACCAUAAUGAUCGAAUAUCGAUUAAUACUGGUGUAUGCCAAUUUGCUAGAGGUGAUCGAUGAGAAUGUUGUCUAUGUGAACUAAUGGCGUACACUGCUCAGUGGAUUCAUUUCCUUUUUGAAAAAAAGGUCGCACAUCGUGAUGGAUAUACUCUAUACAAAGUUACUGGUUUUCGCCAAUGCAGUAGCGUUUCGGGAAUUGGAGAUUGUGUCCAGAAAGCAACGAUAUGGCAGCGAUACAGCAAGUUCUUGGAGUUUGAAAAACUGUUGAAAGAUGUGUUUAAAAAUAACGCUGUGUUGAAUGAUGCUCCGUUUCUAAAGAGGCCUGCAGCGUUUCGCCUCAUUGCGAAAAACGAAGUGAAUGAGCGAAUGCGCAGUUUGGAAACCUUAUUCGAUUUUAUUUCCUCAGUUCAAUCACUCGACCUAACAAAUCUUCUCGACAAGUUUUUCAACUUCGAAGUGUCACAAGACAAUAUUUCUGAUGAAAAUGAUUUAUCUCAAAGUUCUAGAUCAAUUGAUAGUUUAUCCAGCGUGCCAGAGAUGCAUCAUGCUCCCGAAAUUGUAAUCGAUGAGUCCAUCUCAAAUGAAAAGAAAAAUUUGCCUGAACUCGGUGAUCAUGUUUAUGGAAAAACCGUUUCCGGAUCUUUGUACGACCGAAGAAACCGCGGAAACAACCUGCAAACUGCAUCGCUGGACAAUCUAUCAAGUGAAACACUUAGCAGUUCUACAUCACCUAACUCAUCUUACAGCGACCUGUCAUCAGAAACAUCCUCUCUUAGCACUGGAGUUGAAAGCAUAGAUUCGCCAGAAUACUUGAAUUGUUCUUCCUUUUUAUUUGCGAACAAAGUUCUUGUCCGAGAUUGGCUCCAAGCUGCUUUGGUUGAGGCUAAUUCUUUAAAACAAGCAACUAGCCUUAAGAGCUCAUCUGGUUCUGCGAUUGAUCUUCUGAGAAAUGACUGCCUUGAACCCUUAGAUGCGAACGCUUUUUACCCUAAGAGUUCUUAUCUAGCCCAGGCUGGACAUUACAUUAAGGUUGCUAAUGAAUAUGAAAGUUGCGGAGAGUUGGAAAAUGCGUUUUAUGCGUACAAAAGUUGCAUUGAGAUUCUGCUCAUAGGCGUGGCAACUGAAAAGGAUCCUGAUAAACGUGCUUGUGUUAGUGACAAGGUUACAGAAUACAUAACUGUUGCCUCUCAAAUUCUGCUAAACUCUCUUUUACCAUUGUACAAUGAAGAUGGAGGUUUGUGGCGUGAACACUUAAUCAGUUCAAACCCCAAUUUUGAUCACCUUAAACGACCCCUAAGUGAACUUAAUUCGUACCGUGUUUUCAAAAUUCUAAAUCAAAGUGUUGUAGUUUUUGAUGACCUGGGUGCUAAAUAUAUACUCCGUGUCAUACCAAAAUGUGCCAAUAGGUCAUUCAGAUUCGACAAAUGUCCGCCGCAGCUUGAUCUGAUGUCAAAUAUUUGCAGUGUAUACGAAUUAGAAAAUGUUUGGGUAUUUUGUCUCGAGUAUAUAAUGGGCGAAUUGUUAAUAACCAGAAUGCAGCCCGAUCACGGAAUCUCACUUGUUGAAACUCCAGAAAAUCUGGACAAUGGCUUGAUGUUUGUGCCGAAUGAAACUGAACUAGAAAAUGGCGCUGAGAAAAAGCAAACUGAAAGUAUCAAUCGAGUCAGUGCAUCAAAUACAAUAACGGAAUUGCAAAAUGACAACUCAAAUUUGACUAACUCGUGUGAAAAACGAGAGAAGUCGUUAGCCGAGCUACUGUUUUCCGAAGCGGAUUCGGACAACUCUGAUUUUGCUCUGACGCUAACUGAAAAUGAUCUUCGGGAAGCAACGUCACCAAAAUGCCAACGUUAUAAACGUGACGAAGUUUCAACGGCUAACUUUAUUGCUGCUUUUGUAAAGUUCAAUGCUACAAGCGCCCAACCAACUAUAAGAAAACAGUCCUCAAAAAUUGGAAAAGCUCCGCUAAAAGUCGUUCAAAAGUGGAUAACUCAAAUGUUGCAAUGUUUAAACGAAUUGCAUUCUUUGGAAGUUUUUUGGGGUUGUAUUACUCCGCGCGAUAUUUUCCUCCAUCGAAACGGUAAUAUCAAGUUCAAGCACUGUCUAACUUGGUUGAACGAUUCAAAAUCUAUAGAUGAAUGGCUUUUAGACCCUUACUGUGUUAGUUUUAUCGCUCCAGAAUUGUUGGAAGAUUUCAUGUUUAUGGUUCCUAAUUCGCAAAGUGAUCUUUGGAGUUUAGGAGCUGUCAUUUAUACGUUGAUUACCGGUCGCUUUUUUGCAGCUGAUUUUCCAAGCUAUUUAUUAGAGGAGGAAGAAAUUAUGGAUUUACCCGGAGAAUUCAAUUGCGCUGGGCUUCAAAAUCUAUUACGAUACCUUUUACAGAGAAGGCCUGAUUUACGUUUAACUUUCGAAGAAGCUAUAAGUGAUCCCUUUUUAAAUAGUUUUCAUUUCCCAGAAAUUUAAAAAUGAAAUUCUUGUCUGUAAAUACAGAUUUAUUCCUUAAUUUUCAAUUUUAUUGUCUUGAUAUCUUUUAUAGGUUGUAUAUUGUGUAUGAAUUUUCUGAGCCGUAAUGUAAAUUCUGAUUUUUACAAUAUUGUAAAACGCAAUUGUUCUUCUUUACUUGCAUUUCAUUUUUGCAUAUCAGAUCUGGCUUACCUUAAAUUUAACGCUUAACUGAUUAGCUCACCUGUAAUAGCUGUACCAUUAGCGAAACAAACGUUGUUAAUGCAACCACAACAUGCAUUUUCAUGGUACUAUAAAAUCUACCCUAAUUUCAGAUGUAAAUAUGUAAAUAAAAUUUCACGCACACCAAAGCCAAAUCGGUUUUGAAUGAAUCAGCUAAAGCUAAAUCUUAACAAUAGCUAGUAGGUUAAUUUACAACAAUGACGACGUUGAACAGACUGGAGAAACGUGAAAAGAUGAGAAGUUUUUGGCAGAAUAGUUUGUCGUCCUCGUGUCGUGACCUGAGUGACAUUUGUGAUUCAAAUGGAGAUGUGUCAUCAUCCUGUUGGGAUUUGAAUCAGUUUCAACAAUUUGAAAUUCAAAAAGGUUUGUUUUCUUUUUUAUUCUCUUACUCAGACUGUUUGCAGCGGUGUGUCUUUUAUGCACACAACAAGCGAAGAGGUGUUUUCUACCUACCAAUUAUACCAUUUCACUCUCCAUAUACUAAAGCAUGCGGAUUGUGUUUUAAAGACUGUUUGAAACUGCGUGUUUUUAUAUCGUUUUAAAUUUUCUUCUUGAUUAAGCUUGAAUGAGCAGUGAAUGGAGCUUGCUCAAUUUAUAUUACUUUUGCGUGGUGUUAUAUUACAAUGAAAGCAGAAGUUGAAAAGAAACUAUUUUAAAAAUCUGUACUUCUCACGAUUAAAAGUUCAGCUUGGUCUGUUCAACGAAUUGCCAACUCGUUGAUACGAUCUUUGGAGGAAUUGCCAUCAAACGGGGAUAGUCAAGGACAUUUUGAAUCAACUAUGGAGGAUGAAGAAAUUGAAACGAAACCGAUAAGGAUCGAAUGUAUGCGUAAAAAAUGGGAUCAAGUUUUGCAUUUCGCAUUGAAAGAAAACGAAUUACAGCAAAGACAAAAUGAAAUUUUCAAAGAAAUGAAAAGUCGAAAGUCUGCUUCGCAAUGGAAUAUUUCAAACUCAAUUGUAGAUGCAAAUUGUAGUUUCGAAGAUAUUCCGCUCGAGCAAAGGCCGACGUGUGACCGAAUUGAAGUGGUGCCGCAACACGAUUUGGACGAAAAAAUCCGAGUUCGAAGCCGAACAUUGGAGUGGAAUGAGCGAAUCAAUGCGAUGAGUACUUCGUCCAAAGAAAGUUCACUUGAUCGAUCGCCAAGCAACGGUGUUUCAGGUGCAAAUCUCAAUGAGACAGAAAAGAAGCUGCAGGUGUUGAAGGAUAUAAAAGCAGAUCGAAUUAAAGAACAAGAAAGGAUAAAGUAUCAGAAAUUGGCCGAAAGAAGACAAAAUCGAUCUCAAAAAGGUAGUUUGAGCGCUUUGAUUAUGCAUUAUUCGGGUAAUGAGCCUCUCAAUCAAGCUAGCCCAGCCAAUGCGUCUACCCCUUUGAAUGGUUUUAAAGAUGGUGUUAAAAAACCACCUUCAUUUUCAAUUGUUAACGAAAUUGGCCUUACCAAUGCGCCGAAACAUUCGAAUGGUCAUCAAGACGCAAGUCCAGAAGUAUCGGAGAACCAAAAUGGCUAUAAGAUGAUGCAGUUUAAAGAUGAAAGUCCAACGAAUGCUUCUGCUCAUGAUUCAGAAAUAAAGGAAGUUAUUGAAAUCAAGAAAGAAUUAGUUGAAAGCACAACACCAACGCCUGUACCGGUGAAGACUAAAAAGAAAGCUCCGCCACCGCCCGUUGAUGGAACCAAUGGACCCAAUGAUCAAAAUCAAGAUAAAAUGAAAACUUUAGAAGUAAAAAUGUAAAUACUUCAAUUAAUCGAUCAUUGGCUGAAAUGAAAUGUUCUGAUAUUUUUUACCCGUUCUUACAUCUAUACAAUUUAGAUAGAUAACUCUAUUUCAAUUUUAAUUUAAGAUUUCUGUCGUAA